rnacentral:rRNA from 1 species
UCCGGAUCUCAGAUCAAGCAAGAUGACCCGCCGAAUUUAAGCAUAUAAUUAAGCGGAGGAAAAGAAACUAACUAGGAUUCCCUCAGUAACGGCGAGUGAAGCGGGACUAGCUCACGAUGUGAAUCUGCGCUUUUUGGCGCCGAAUUGUGGUCUAUAGACUUUAACGUUAUCUGCCGGGCCAAGUUCCUUGGAAAAGGACAGCUGAGAGGGUGAGACUCCCGUCCGCCUGGUAGAGUGAGUUUUUGUCAACGAGUCGAGUUGUUUGGGAUUGCAGCUCUAAUUUGGUGGUAAAUUCCAUCUAAAGCUAAAUAUUGGUGGGAGACCGAUAGCGUACAGGUACCGUGAGGGAAAGAUGCAAAGAACUUUGAAAAGAGAGUUAAAGAGUACCUGAAAUUGCUGAAACGGAAGCGAAGGAAACCAGUGUUUGUUGGUUCAUAUUUCCCUGGCCACUUGUGGUUUGGGCGCUGUGAGCUUGCGUGGGUUUGCUUUGGUUGAUCCCUUUGGAAGAGCGCAGUCAGAGUUGAUGUCUGUUGCUAGCACUGGGUUUGAUUAAUGCAGACGAAAUGGUUUUCUUUACCCCGUCUUGAAACACGGACCAAGGAGUCUAA